rnacentral:rRNA from 1 species
UACGUAGGGUGCAAGCGUUGUCCGGAAUUAUUGGGCGUAAAGAGCUCGUAGGCGGUCUGUCGCGUCGGCUGUGAAAUCCCGAGGCUCAACCUCGGGUCUGCAGUCGAUACGGGCAAACUAGAGUAUUGCAGGGGAGACUGGAAUUCCUGGUGUAGCGGUGAAAUGCGCAGAUAUCAGGAGGAACACCGGUGGCGAAGGCGGCAUCCUGGACCGACAUUGACGCUGAGGAGCGAAAGCUAGGGGAGCAAACGGG